rnacentral:sRNA from 1 species
GAAAGUCCGGGGAUCCCGGGGGCCAGUCGCGGCCGGGACAUCGGGCGCUGCGGCCGGGGACCCGCUGCUGAGAUAGACAGAAUAUGGCAGAGCUUUCUGAGCCAGAGGGACCAGUAGAUUGGAAGGAACGAUGUGUAGCUCUGGAGUCCCAGCUCAUGAAAUUUAGAGUUCAAGCAAGCAAGAUACGAGAGCUCUUAGCAGAGAAGAUGCAACAGCUUGAGAGACAAGUUAUUGAUGCUGAACGUCAAGCAGAAAAAGCUUUUCAACAGGUACAAGUUAUGGAAGAUAAAUUAAAAGCAGCUAAUAUUCAAACCAGUGAAUCAGAGACAAGAUUAUAUAAUAAGUGUCAAGAUCUGGAGUCGCUAAUACAGGAAAAAGAUGACAUCAUUCAAAACUUGGAAUUGCAACUUGAAGAGCAGAAACAAAUAAGAAUACAAGAAGCUAAAAUAAUAGAAGAGAAAGCAGCUAAGAUCAAAGAAUGGGUAACAGUUAAGUUAAAUGAGCUGGAAUUGGAGAAUCAGAAUCUUCGUUUGAUCAACCAAAACCAAACUGAAGAGAUAAGAACAAUGCAGUCAAAACUACAAGUUCAAGGAAAGAAGUCAUCCACUGUCUCUACACUAAAGCUUUCGGAAGGCCAGCGCCUGAGCAGUUUGACCUUUGGGUGCUUUUUAUCUCGAGCAAGGAGUCCUCCUCAAGUAGUAAAAUCUGAGGAAAUGAGCAAGAUAUCGUCAAAAGAACCUGAGUUCACUGAAGGAAAAGACGUAGAAGAAAUGGAAAUUCCAGAAAAGUCUGUUGAUAACCAAGUUCUAGAAAACAACAGAGGCCAGAGAACAUUGCAUCAAACCCCUUGUGGCUCAGAACAGAAUCGGAAAACAAGAACAAGCUUUGCCACAGAUGGUGGCAUCUCCCAGAAUUCUGGGGCUCCAGUGAGUGACUGGAGCUCUGAUGAGGAAGAUGGGAGCAAAGGAAGAUCCAAGUCCAGAUGCACAUCCACGCUCUCCAGUCACACAUCUGAGGAAGGGGUCCAGUGUAGCAGGAUGGGGAGCGAAAUGUAUCUGACAGCAUCUGAUGACAGCAGCUCUAUAUUUGAGGAAGAGACUUUUGGCAUAAAGAGACCAGAACACAAGAAGCUAUAUUCUUGGCAGCAGGAGGCACAGUGGAAAGCUCUAAAUAGUCCUCUCGGAAAGGGAAAUUCUGAAUUAAGUAAAAAGGAGCAAGAUAGUUCCUCGGAUGAACUGAAUAAAAAAUUUCAAUCUCAGAGACUCGAUUAUUCAUCUUCAUCGAGUGAAGCCAACACCCCAAGCCCUAUUUUGACCCCAGCUUUAAUGCCAAAGCAUCCUAACUCACUCUCUGGAAAAGGAACACAAUUAGUGCCUUCAUCACACCUGCCACCCCCAAAGUUAAGGAUUCCUAAUGUUUUCAGUAUAAGUGUAGCACUAGCCAAAAGGCACUUAAGCCAGCCACAGUUAAGCUCCGACAGGAUGUUUGGUACAAAUAGAAAUGCUAUAAGCAUGAUACGACCACUGAGACCUCAGGAAACUGAUCUUGAUCUAGUUGAUGGUGACAGUACAGAGGUUUUAGAGAAUAUGGACACGAGUUGUGAUGAUGGAUUAUUUUCCUAUGACUCCUUGGACUCUCCAAAUUCAGAUGACCAGGAAAACUGUGACUCAGCAAAGAAGGUGGCAUGCAGCAAACCUCCAACUCCUCCCCUGCACCGUUUUCCUUCUUGGGAAAGCAGAAUUUAUGCUGUAGCCAAAUCAGGUAUGCGAAUGUCUGAGGCCUUCAAUAUGGAAAAUGUUAAUAAAAAUUCUGUUGCACCCGUUUCCUAUACCGCAUCAGGACUUUAUACAUCUCUGAUAUAUAAGAACAUGACCACCCCAGUGUAUACAACUUUGAAGGGGAAGGCGACCCAAAUAAGUAGCAGCCCUUUCCUGGAUGACUCAUCUGGGUCAGAGGAAGAAGACAGCUCCAGAUCCAGCUCCCGGACGUCAGAGUCAGACUCACGCAGUAGGAGUGGGCCAGGCAGCCCCAGAGCCAGGAAACGAGGUGUGUCUCUCUCCUCUGUGGCUUCUGAAAGUGAUUAUGCUAUUCCUCCUGAUGCUUACUCCACAGACACGGAGGACUCACAGCCAGAGCAGAAGCUCCCAAAAACUUGCUCAUCUUCCAGUGAUAAUGGGAAAAAUGAACCACUGGAAAAAUCUGGUUAUUUAUUAAAAAUGAGUGGUAAAGUCAAGUCUUGGAAGCGGCGGUGGUUUGUUCUUAAAGGUGGUGAAUUACUUUACUAUAAAUCUCCGAGUGAUGUAAUUAGAAAACCCCAGGGCCAUAUUGAACUUAGUGCAUCCUGUAGUAUUUUAAGAGGAGAUAACAAACAAACAGUUCAGUUGACCACUGAAAAACACACAUACUAUCUGACUGCAGAUUCUCCCAAUAUAUUGGAAGAGUGGAUUAAAGUGUUACAGAAUGUUCUUCGAGUACAAGCUGCCAACCCACUUUCCCUGCAGCCUGAGGGCAAACCCACCGUGAAGGGAUUGCUCACUAAGGUAAAACAUGGAUACUCCAAGAGAGUCUGGUGCACACUAAUAGGAAAGACAUUAUAUUAUUUUCGGAGUCAAGAAGAUAAGUUUCCUUUAGGUCAGAUCAAACUUUGGGAGGCUAAAGUGGAAGAGGUUGACAGAUCUUGUGAUUCAGAUGAAGAUUAUGAAGCCAGUGGACGUAGUCUGUUAUCCACACAUUAUACUAUCGUUAUCCAUCCCAAAGACCAAGGUCCGACUUACCUCCUAAUUGGAUCCAAGCAUGAAAAGGACACUUGGCUUUAUCAUCUGACUGUUGCAGCUGGAAGCAACAAUGUAAACGUUGGAUCUGAAUUUGAACAACUGGUUUGCAAAUUGCUAAAUAUAGAUGGGGAGCCUUCCUCUCAGGUAUGGAGACACCCCACUUUGUGUCACAGCAAGGAAGGAAUCAUUUCCCCUCUGACAACUCUACCUUCCGAAGCCCUGCAGACAGAAGCUAUUAAAUUAUUUAAGACCUGCCAGCUUUUUAUAAAUGCUGCAGUUGACUCUCCUGCAAUUGAUUACCACAUAUCUCUAGCCCAGAGUGCUUUGCAAAUCUGCCUGACACAUCCUGAGCUGCAGAAUGAAAUUUGCUGUCAGCUUAUUAAACAGACAAGACGAAGACAGCCACAGAAUCAACCAGGACCAUUGCAGGGCUGGCAGCUCUUGGCACUCUGCGUUGGGCUCUUCCUUCCCCAUCAUCCUUUCCUGUGGCUCCUCAGGCUUCACCUAAAGAGGAAUGCAGAUUCCAGGUGUGCAGAAUACUAGCCAGCUGAACUGUUUAUGUGGUCUCUGAAAGUCUACGAUAAAUCAUAAGUAUUUAAUGAUCUGCCAGGUACAUUUUCAGAAGAAUGUAUGAAACAAAUAUUGGUACAGGAAGCCUUUGGUUAUCAUUGAUGUGGAGCUAGGAAAAUAUUUCCUUUGUUAUGUUAAAUCUCUUAGGAAAGAUUGCAAUAAAUACUUGAAUAACUGACAGAGAAUAUUCUUAAGUGAAAAGUGUAUUUGCAUUUCAAGUAUGAAUGACUUAGCAUUAGUGGGUGUUCAUUCAAUAAAAGCAACUAUUUUGUUUCCUUA